GACAGAGGCCUCGAGCGUUAGGCGGAAUCACUGGGCUUAAAGCGUGUGUAGGCGGAUCGUUAAGUACCUUGUGAAAUCCCACGGCUCAACCGUGGAACGGCUGGGUAUACUGGCGGUCUUGGGCCAUUCAGGGGCGACUGGAACAAGCGGUGGAGCGGUGAAAUGCGUAGAUAUCGCUUGGAACGCCGAAGGUGAAGGCAGCCUUCUGGGCCAACACUGACGCUCAUGCACGAAAGCGUGGGGAGCAAACAGG
rnacentral:rRNA from 1 species